rnacentral:rRNA from 1 species
GAACUGUGCGAACGUUAUUCGGGAAUCACUGGGCUUAAAGGGGUGCGUAGGCCGGGGUUUAAAGGUCUGAUGUGAAAGCCCACGGGCUCAACCGUGGAAUUGCGUUGGAAACCAUAAGCCUUGAGGAGAUCAGAGGUGAGCGGAACUGAUGGUGGAGCGGUGAAAUGCGUUGAUAUCAUCAGGAACACCGGUGGCGAAAGCGGCUCACUGGGAUCUUUCUGACGCUGAGGCACGAAAGCUAGGGGAGCGAACGGGAUUAGAUACCCCGGUAGUCCUAGCUGUAAACGAUCAGUACUAGUCCGUGGGGGCUUCCACACCCUCUCGGACGUAGCGAAAGUGUUAAGUACUGCGCCUGGGGAGUAUGGUCGCAAGGCUG